rnacentral:tRNA from 1 species
CCGACCUUAGCUCAGUUGGUAGAGCGGAGGACUGUAGUUGACGCAGAUUAUCCUUAGGUCACUGGUUCGAAUCCGGUAGGUCCGA